CAUUGGCCAGAAAGCAUUUGAAGAGCAUUAGCAUUUAGUAAAUGUUUCUCUAAAUGUUUUACUAACAAUUGUUGAUUGGAUAAUGUUAGCAUAAUGUUAAUGCUAAUGUUCUACCAAUCAAGACCCCAGUUUAAAGGUGAGUAAACAUAAUUCCAACAAUUUUUUCACGCUUAUAUUUCGUAGUUGAACCUUUUGAUUUUUAAAUUAUAAAAUUUUCAAAAUUUGUUAAAUAUUUAUUAUUUAAAAUUAUGAGAAAUAAAUAUUAACACCACAUUUAAACUAGUAUUUUAGAAAUCAUAAAAGAACAUAAUAUAAACUCAAAUAUACAUUUAAAAGAACAUAACACACAUGAUUGUGUUAAUUUCUAAAUUAAUUAAAUUCAGAAAAUGAUAAACUCAUCCUAAUCAACCACGUUCACAACAACCAUUCAAUCUCACUCUUAGAACAUAUAUAGGCAAAAAAAAAAAAAACUUUCCACAAUAUAUAAGAAACGCUUUUUGUAUGCCAGUUAAUGCAAAUCAAAACUAUACUAAAAGGAGCAUAUUAAGCUCUCUAAGGGCGUCCACGUCAGACUGGAAAUUCAACCAGUAGGAUUGCAGCAUUUUUUCACGUCAUUUAAUAGUUACUUUGGUUUGGGCUUUUGUGAUUUUCGAUCUGUAAUUUGGUCUUUUGUUAUUUUCUGUCGGUAGGCUAUAGCCCAUAUUUUGCAACUGAUUUUGUUCUUCACCAUGAACUGCUCUCUUCCACUUAUCGUAACUUUCGGGAUUUUAUUUUUCAUUAAUGUUGGGAUUCUUCUGAUCCGUUAGGCUCUCUUUGUUAUCCCCUUUCUUCCACUUCGUAACAUACAGCUUCUCCACCAUAAAAAACGAUAAAUAUCUUAUUCAAUUCAGAAACCACACUCAGACAAUGCUCUUUUGCACUUCCCAAACUUUCUAUAUAUUUUCCCCAAAAAAAAAAAGGGAUGACACGAAUAAUCUCAAUCUUUUAAGAACUACUGAAGAAGUACAUAGAAGCCAAAAAAGAAUUCAAAGGAAAUAGAGAAGCCAACGAAAACUCCAAAGGUCUUUUCCACUUUUAAUUUGGUUUAUAGUUUUUACUGUUACAGUAAACUCCAAUCGGCCUCUUCCCCUUGCAGAUUUUCCGACGUAGCCAAACCUCCCCAGCGACCACUAUCUGUUCCGCCCACAGAUGGGCCAAUUAUCUUAGACUUCAGUUUCACCACCGAGCCUCUACCGCACUGCCACUUUGUUUUCUUUGCGACCAUCUGUUCCCAUUGACAUCAAUUUUUAUCAUGGUUUUUCUCAGUCCUUAACCAACAUAUUCUCUCAGUUGUUUAUCACUAUGUAAUCUGAUUGUCCGAAAUCUAAGAGGUUUUAGGAGCCGAUUCGCAUUUCUAUGGAACCAGAAUAGCAUUUGAAGCUAGGGUCUCUAAACCACCCCAAUUUGGUUAAAGAAGCUCUGAAGCUUUUGGCUAGAGCUUUGACUCUCUUCGAGAUAGUUUUCCGAAUUUGACGCUACCUCUCUUGGUUUGGUUUUGAUUCUUUUUUGGCAGGAGGAAGGAGCGAGUCCCCUUGCACCAAAUUUACGUGCUAAAAUGGAUGAGAUCAUCCUGCAAACUUAUAUCUUGGAGCUUCUUAGUUUACUGUUCGGUUAUGAUCCCGCAAACUUAUGUAUCUCACCCUUGCAGAGCUCAACCAAUGCUGUUGAUAUCUGAUCCUCAGAUAAUUGAGUUUCUAUGUAAGGCAAAAGUAACUGGUAUCCAUGCAUAUAAAGGUUGGUGUUACAUUGGUUGCUCUAGCGAGAGAUUUCUUCUUUCACAUUCAUCGUAUGUGAUAAAUCUGUCCUAAGGUAUCAUGUGGAGCUAUGUGUAUCAGACGAGCUGGAUGAGGCUGUCUUUGUCGCUUUUGAUAUGGAGAUGGAAAAGUUGGCAAACAUUCAAGCUGCUGAAGCUGCACAAAUUUUGGUUAAGAUUUCCUUAUUCUACCAUAUGCAUCAAACUAAUGCUCCAACUUAUAUGUAGCUUUAUUGAAAAUAUGUUUCUGUAUAUGCAGGGUGCAUGUGUGAAUGCUCAUGUGGACAACGAACUACCCCACUUUGUAGCUUGAUAUUAUAGGCAAAACCUACACUUUUCCAGCUCAAGCUAUGGGAGUUUAAUUUCACUUCCAAGCACCAAACCUUCACCGUUUCCCGUAUCAUUUCUUAGGAACAGCGUGCACCACUCCAAGAAUUUGUCAUACAAAGAAACCAGUAGCACCAUAGCGCUCAACUGGUGAGCAAAACACUGUUGUAGAGGUAUCACGUUGUGCGACAGCAAAAGUCCGAGAGACUACAAGUGACGACCCUCAACUAUCCUCAUCUGCUGUACCAGCAAGCGUUCGUCAUGCAGCAAACAAGUCGAAGCUUGAUCCAAAUGAGAGUGGAUAAAGAAGGCACACAAGACAUAGCUCCACGUGACAAGGAAAGUCCACCUCUGUUUGCUUGAAAUAAUCUUAUAAGGUCACUUUCUAUUUUACAUUAUUAAACUAAAUGUAGUGGUGGAACUUUGAGUUAUUAUUGCAAAUUUAUUUCCUCAAAUGGCUUUCUCUUUGUUUUAAGACGUAGAGUGUGACACCCGUCACCUCCUAUAUGGAGGACAGCGUGUCACCCCCGACGCGUCAUCAUACAACAAUGUGAUACCCGUCUCCCUGACACUAAGGACGACGGGCCACCAACAAUAUCCCGUAAUAUAAAAGCCCAUAAACCCGACAACUCUCAC